CAAGUCGAACGCUUUAUCUUUAAUUGAUAUGAAGAGCUUGCUCUGAUUUGAUUCUAUCUGACAAAGAGUGGCGAACGGGUGAGUAACACGUGGGUAACCUACCUCUUAGCAGGGGAUAACAUUUGGAAACAAGUGCUAAUACCGUAUAACACUAACAACCGCAUGGUUGUUAGUUGAAAGAUGGUUCUGCUAUCACUAAGAGAUGGACCCGCGGUGCAUUAGCUAGUUGGUAAGGUAAUGGCUUACCAAGGCGAUGAUGCGUAGCCGAGUUGAGAGACUGAUCGGCCACAAUGGGACUGAGACACGGCCCAUACUCCUACGGGAGGCAGCAGUAGGGAAUCUUCCACAAUGGGCGCAAGCCUGAUGGAGCAACGCCGCGUGUGUGAUGAAGGGUUUCGGCUCGUAAAACACUGUUAUAAGAGAAGAACGACAUUGAGAGUAACUGUUCAGUGUGUGACGGUAUCUUAUCAGAAAGGAACGGCUAAAUACGUGCCAGCAGCCGCGGUAAUACGUAUGUUCCAAGCGUUAUCCGGAUUUAUUGGGCGUAAAGCGAGCGCAGACGGUUAUUUAAGUCUGAAGUGAAAGCCCUCAGCUCAACUGAGGAAGGGCUUUGGAAACUGGAUAACUUGAGUGCAGUAGAGGAAAGUGGAACUCCAUGUGUAGCGGUGAAAUGCGUAGAUAUAUGGAAGAACACCGGUGGCGAAAGCGGCUUUCUGGACUGUAACUGACGUUGAGGCUCGAAAGUGUGGGUAGCAAACAGGAUUAGAUACCCUGGUAGUCCACACCGUAAACGAUGAGUGCUAGAUGUUCGAGGGUUUCCGCCCUUGAGUGUCGCA
rnacentral:rRNA from 1 species